GGUUAAGCGACUAAGCGUACACGGUGGAUGCCCUGGCAGUCAGAGGCGAUGAAGGACGUGCUAAUCUGCGAUAAGCGUCGGUAAGGUGAUAUGGACCGUUAUAACCGGCGAUUUCCGAAUGGGGAAACCCAGUGUGAUUCGUCACACUAUCAUUAACUGAAUCCAUAGGUUAAUGAGGCGAACCGGGGGAACUGAAACAUCUAAGUACCCCGAGGAAAAGAAAUCAACCGAGAUUCCCCCAGUAGCGGCGAGCGAACGGGGAGGAGCCCAGAGCCUGAAUCAGUGUGUGUGUUAGUGGAAGCGUCUGGAAAGGCG
rnacentral:rRNA from 1 species